AUAUAAUUCAAAAAUGUGUUUAAAAUGUAAGCAAAUAAAUUUGUACAAAUUUGCUCUGGUAUCUGGCGUCAAAAUUAAUUGUGUGUACCUAAAACAUAAAAAAAAAGGAAAAAUGGUAAAUUUACGCUCAAAUUAGCUUCAUUUACUUCCUUCUCAUACUUCCACAAUUGAAGUGACUUAAAUUUCAAAUAAUUUUGUUUAAAAUUUCGUAUGAGCAGAUUAUAUUUACUUGUGCACACUUGUGGGUUCUUUACUCAUUUUGAUCGUAAAAACAAAUAUAAAUAAGGAGUGAAGGAGGCUACAAAUACAAGUAAUGGAGUUCUCAAACAAGUACUGUCCUCCGCUCCUUCGUGGAAUAGGGUGGUC
rnacentral:lncRNA from 1 species